UUUAUAGCAUUUUAAAUGUUAAUAUAAUUAGACAUAAUACCUUAUUUCCCCUGAAGUAUACCCAAAAUAAUAGUCACACACCUCAACUUAAAGGAUCUUAUUAUUUCGAAAUUAAUUAAAGGUAUAAUUUUGAUACUGGCCACAUGGCACAUACGUAAUACAUAUGUGGUAUAUACGUGACACAACACAUUGAAGUGUCCACGAAGACAACUUUUAACGGAAAGGAUUUGUCUCUACCAACACCAGGUAAUUUCUUGACAAUCACCAAAACUUGUGGUCAAGGCGACAAGAUUACUCUCGAGCUACCUAUGAUUCUAAGAACCGAGGUAAUAAAAGGUGUCCAAAAUGAAGAAAGUAAUGAAGACAAAGACCUUAUGAAGACAAAGACCUUACUUGAGAAGAUUUUUGGGUUGUUGAUAAAUGCUCUAAUAUCAAUAGUUUUGUGUUGAAUUUCUUGAAACUUAUUACGACUCGAACUUGCUAGUAUAUAAAAACUUAACUAAUUAUUUUGGACUUGAUUACAUUUUGCGUUUGAGUUUAAAUUACUAGCAUUUGAAUUAUGAGAUUAUUAAUGAAUGAUUUUAUUUUGUGAUGUGUAUGUGUUAUUAUUUAUUAUGUAUGUAAAUAAAAGUUUAC